GACAGAGGUGCCAAGCGUUAGGCGGAAUCACUGGGCUUAAAGCGUGUGUAGGUGGAUUUGUAAGUACCUUGUGAAAUCCCAUGGCUCAACCAUGGAACUGCUCGGUAUACUGCGAAUCUUGAGCCACUUAGGGGCUACCGGAACAAAUGGUGGAGCUGUGAAAUGCGUAGAUAUCAUUUGGAACGCCAAUGGUGAAAACAGGUGGCUGGGAGUGUGCUGACACUGAGACACGAAAGCCAGGGGAGCGAACGGG
rnacentral:rRNA from 1 species